GACGAACGCUGGCGGUGUGCUUAACACAUGCAAGUCGAACGGUAAGGCCCUUUCGGGGGUACACGAGUGGCGAACGGGCGAGUAACACGUGAGUAACCUGCCCUCAUUUCAGGGAUAACAGUCGGAAACGGUUGCUAACACUGGACAUGUGCUUGCUCGGCAUCCUUUGGGUUGGAAAGAUUUUUUUUGGGUGGGGAUGGACUCGCGGCCUAUCAGCUUGUUGGUGGGGGAUGGGGUCAACAAGGCUUCGACGGGUAGCCGGGCUGGGAGGGGGGACCGGCCACAUGGGGAUUGGGAACGGGCCAAAAUUCUAAGGGGGGGAGGAGGGGGGGAAAUUGCAAAAUGGACGGGAGUCCGGUGCAACAAAGCCGCGUGGGGGAUGACGGCCUUCGGGUUGGAAACCGGUUUCAAUUGGGGCGAAGCUGUUAUGUGACGGUAGCAGUAGAGGAAGAACCGGCUAACUACGU
rnacentral:rRNA from 1 species